GAUGAAGAACGCAGUGAAAUGCGAUAAGUAAUGUGAAUUGCAGAAUUCAGUGAAUCAUCGAAUCUUUGAACGCACAUUGCGCCCGCCAGCACUCUGGCGGGCAUGCCUGUUCGAGCGUCAUUUCAACCAUCAAGCCCCCAGGGGCUUGUGCUGGGGCCCUGCGGCUGCCCGCAGGCCCUGAAAACCAGUGGCGGGCUCGCUAGUCACACCGAGCGCCGUAGCACAUCUCGCUCAGGGCGUGCGGCGGGCUCCUGCCGUGAAACCCCCCACUGUAACCCCAAAGGUUGACCUCGGAUCAGGUAGGAAUACCCGCUGAACUUAAGCAUAUCAAUAAGCGGAGGA
rnacentral:misc_RNA from 1 species